rnacentral:lncRNA from 1 species
UCACUAUAAUCCAACUCAAUAUGGAGAAGCGUUUAUCAAUUAUCAGUUUAUCACAAAGAGUGCUAAUUUAACUUUAAUGGAUCCAUUAUAGUUAAAUUUAAAUCAGACAUCAUCAAGGUAUGAUAUCUUCACUGCUCUGAAUGCGCCCUGCUAGAUCAAUCUUAAGACACUGAAGAUAGUGUCUUUAGCUAAUACAGACGAAAUUGGUUAAGAAUAUUGUAUGCUUAGGCUUAAAGAUCCGACUAGAAGUGACAAUAUGUACCUUCUGUACAGGCAUAGGAACAUUUGCUGCAAUAUCUUCUUCAAGUGAACGAUUGAAAAGGCCACAAUAUGUUUGUCUCACCGCGAUCAGAUGAUUAGGAGAUGAUCCACAAGCUAUCUCUACUAUCACUUGCAAUUGGGUGAAAUAGUCCCAAAUCCUCCAGGUCAACAACACUUAGGGUUUUCGAAAGGUUGAUCAAUUAGGGCUCUCAAGAGUGAUUUCUCUCCGUACACACUACAAGAAAUUACCCCUAUGACGACGGUUCAAAAACCAUUGCAAUAGGCUUAACAGCCGUCGCCAUAGCUCUAAUGCAACAGUUAAGCAUGUGUCCUAUAUGUGACCAUUGCAAUAGAGCUAUCGUAAUGGUUGAUGUCUCCAAGUCAAGAACACUUGGGGUUUUCAAAAGGUUGAUCAAUUAGGGCUCUCAAGAGUGAUUUCUCUCCGUACACACUACAAAAAAUUAUUCCAAUGGCGACGGUUCAAAAACCGUUGCAAUAGGUUUAACUACCAUCGCCAUAGCUCUAAUGCAAAGGUUAAGCAUGCGUCCUAUAUGUGACCGUUGCAAUAGAGCUAUCGCAAUGGUUGAUGUCUCCAAGUCAAGAACACUUAGUGUUUUCAAAAGGUUGAUCAAUUAGGGCUCUCAAGAGUGAUUUCUCUCCGUACACACUACAAAAAAUUAUUCCUAUGGCGACGGUUCAAAAAUCGUGCAAUAGGUUUAACUGCCAUCGCCAUAGCUCUAAUGCAACGGUUAAGAAUGCGUCCUAUAUGUGAGCGUUGCAAUAGAACUAUUGCAAUGGUUGAUGUGACGGUUGGUAGAAACCGUCGCCAUAGAACAACCCAUAGCAACAAUUAUUUUUUCUUCUAUUGGGACGCCUCUUUUCACCUAUAGCAAUGGUUAUGAACCAUUGCAAUAGAUUCUACUGCAACGAUGUUAAACCGUUGCAAUAGAAGCUAUUGCGACGGUUUUAUAGCUCUAUUGCAACAAUUUUUCCUAUCUAUUGCAACUAUUUUUAAAGCCUAUUGCAACGGUUUUGUUGGAUUUUUGUAACACUUUUGGACUACCUAUUGCAACGACUUUAUUGGCUUUUUGCAAUGAUUUGUGACUAUACAUUGCAAUAAUUUUUAAUACUAUCACAACGAUUUAUUAAUCUAUUGCAACGAUUGUUGCCACGUGUUGUAACUAGUUCAAAUAUCAAUUGCAACAAUUUAUAUAAAAUAGCCACCCGUAUUGUAAAUUAGUAUUUACAUACAUAAUAAAUUAUAAUAAACAAUUAUAUACACAUCACAAAAUAAAAGAUAAGAAAAUUGCUCUUAAGUUAAUGAACAUUCCUUGUGCUGAGUAUGAUAAGAAAAUUGUCAUUAUCCAACUGUUUUGUCCGUAUGGCUUCAAGAAGGAUAGUGGCUUCUGCAUUUGUCGUAUCAGGAUCUACCAGUUCCUUAUCAUAUCUAUAGGACCCGACUACACCGAUUAGAAUCUGCCAAUCAUCCACAUAACAUAUCAUUUGAUUGAAGUCACUAUAAUCCAACUCAAUAUGGAGAAGCGUUUAUCAAUUAUCAGUUUAUCACAAAGAGUGCUAAUUUAACUUUAAUGGAUCCAUUAUAGUUAAAUUUAAAUCAGACAUCAUCAAGGUAUGAUAUCUUCACUGCUCUGAAUGCGCCCUGCUAGAUCAAUCUUAAGACACUGAAGAUAGUGUCUUUAGCUAAUACAGACGAAAUUGGUUAAGAAUAUUGUAUGCUUAGGCUUAAAGAUCCGACUAGAAGUGAC